rnacentral:rRNA from 1 species
GAUGAACGCUGGCGGCGUGCCUAAUACAUGCAAGUCGAGCGAACGGACGAGGAGCUUGCUCCUCUGACGUUAGCGGCGGACGGGUGAGUAACACGUGGAUAACCUACCUAUAAGACUGGGAUAACUUCGGGAAACCGGAGCUAAUACCGGAUAAUAUAUUGAACCGCAUGGUUCAAAAGUGAAAGACGGUUUUGCUGUCACUUAUAGAUGGAUCCGCGCCGCAUUAGCUAGUUGGUAAGGUAACGGCUUACCAAGGCAACGAUGCGUAGCCGACCUGAGAGGGUGAUCGGCCACACUGGAACUGAGACACGGUCCAGACUCCUACGGGAGGCAGCAGUAGGGAAUCUUCCGCAAUGGGCGAAAGCCUGACGGAGCAACGCCGCGUGAGUGAUGAAGGUCUUCGGAUCGUAAAACUCUGUUAUUAGGGAAGAACAAAUGUGUAAGUAACUAUGCACGUCUUGACGGUACCUAAUCAGAAAGCCACGGCUAACUACGUG